rnacentral:rRNA from 1 species
ACUGCUCAGUAACACGUGGAUAACCUGCCCUUGGGUCCGGCAUAACCCCGGGAAACUGGGGAUAAUUCCGGAUAACGCACAUAUGCUGGAAUGCUUUAUGCGUAAAAUGGAUUCGUCUGCCCAAGGAUGGGUCUGCGGCCUAUCAGGUAGUAGUGGGUGUAAUGUACCUACUAGCCAACAACGGGUACGGGUUGUGAGAGCAAGAGCCCGGAGAUGGACUCUGAGACAUGAAUCCAGGCCCUACGGGGCGCAGCAGGCGCGAAAACUUUACAAUGCGGGAAACCGUGAUAAGGGGACACCGAGUGCCAGCAUCAUAUGCUGGCUGUCCGGGUGUGUAAAAUACACCCGUUAGCAAGGGCCGGGCAAGACCGGUGCCAGCCGCCGCGGUAACACCGGCGGCCCGAGUGGUGAUCGUGAUUAUUGGGUCUAAAGGGUCCGUAGCCGGUUUGGUCAGUCCUCCGGGAAAUCUGAUAGCUCAACUAUUAGGCUUUCGGGGGAUACUGCCAGGCUUGGAACCGGGAGAGGUAAGAGGUACUACAGGGGUAGGAGUGAAAUCUUGUAAUCCCUGUGGGACCACCUGUGGCGAAGGCGUCUUACCAGAACGGGUUCGACGGUGAGGGACGAAAGCUGGGGGCACGAACCGGAUUAGAUACCCGGGUAGUCCCAGCCGUAAACGAUGCUCGCUAGGUGUCAGGCAUGGCGCGACCGUGUCUGGUGCCGCAGGGAAGCCGUGAAGCGAGCCACCUGGGAAGUACGGCCGCAAGGCUGAAACUUAAAGGAAUUGGCGGGGGAGCAC